UGUUCGCCCAUUAAAGGGGAACGUGAGCUGGGUUUAGACCGUCGUGAGACAGGUUGGUUACUAUCUAAUGGAUGUGUUAGUAGUCUGAGGGGGAGGUGGCUCCAGUACGAGAGGAACGAGUGGGCGGCGGCUCUGGUCGACCGGUUGUCUGAUAAGGCAUUGCCGUGCAGCUACGCGCUGGGUGAGAAAGGCUGAAAGCAUCUAAGCCUGAGGUAUCCCCUGAAAAUAGAUUGCUUUUGAGGACGCGAGUAGAAGACUUGUUUGAUGGGGUAGGGAUGUAA
rnacentral:rRNA from 1 species